UAAAAAAAAACAAGAAGACAGCACGUGAACUAUGCACGUGAUUUAGGGUGCGCGCCUCAAAGCUCUUCCCGCGUUAUUCAGCCUAACCAUGUGCCGUGCAGAAUACACGUCUAGAUUAGUUGCAAGAGAAGAUUUGCUUAAGUUCAACUGCCGGGCGACGUCAGUGGAGAACACCUUGGAGCAAAUCCUCCAUACUGUUUUCUUCAUGCUCGGCCCGCCACUGAUGGAUAAUCUGUUCACCUUCAACAGUCUUUGUUCCAGCCUAUCUAGGUCUGCAGUAGAUGCUAGAGGAAAGACACCACCCUCUUCCUCUUCAGCCAUCUGCAUUUGGGGUACAAUACGCCUGUUCCCCACUAGAGACUGGACCAGUGAAGUCAGAUGGUUG